rnacentral:rRNA from 1 species
UACGAAGGGUGCAAACGUUGCUCGGAAUUAUUGGGCGUAAAGCGCACGUAGGUGGCUCUGAAAGUUGGAUGUGAAAGCCCUCGGCUCACCCGAGGAAGUGCAUCCAAAACUGCAGAGCUUGAGUACUUAAGAGGAUCGCGGAAUUCCCGGUGUAGAGGUGAAAUGCGUAGAUAUCGGGAGGAACACCAGUGGCGAAGGCGGCGAUCUGGGAAGAUACUGACGCUGAGGUGCGAAAGCGUGGGGAGCAAACAGG